UUUCUGUCGCACCUCUCUUCUUCUUCAUCUUCCCCGAGCUUCCUCUUCCUCUGCCGAUGCCGAGAACCUCACCUCCAGCCACCAACUCAGCUCGCCACUACCACCACCACCAACGAAUUCGCUAUCCAAAAUCGAGGCUAAAUCUAUAAGCAUCGGAGACGCACAUCACCUCUGAACCUCUCUACCUUCACCAGCCACAGCUCCUCCAAUUCUGGCAGUUCCUUGACAUACCACCGUCGGUGCCCUGCCUCAAAGAUUAAGAGGAUUGGAAACCAGAAGCUUGGGUAUCCACCGAGGCUAAGAAUUCGCACCAGCAUCACCGACAGAGCUCUAAGCUUCAUGAUCUUUGAUUUCCAACUUCCGGUGACGUUAUGGCCUUCCUAUCACCAGAAUCAGGGUCGGUACCUCUCGUAUAGAAGAACCCCUAAUCGUAUCUCUAGAUUUGACCAGCUCCACCAUCGUUGCCGCCGCACCUCCGCCGCUAGCUCCACCACCCACGGUGGCUAGGUUUUACAUAACUUUGAAAUAUAGUGGAGCAGAAAAAGCCGACCCUUACAUUCCAAAGGAUUGGAGCAAGUGCUUAAGUGGUUGCACGAGAUUAAAGAACAUUAUCAUAACGUGAAAGAUGAGGUCAGACUAAGAAUAAGGAUGGGAGUGAUGAGACCAUAAAGUUUUUUCUGAAUUGUUUAUGCCUUCUACUGGGGCGAAUUGAUAGCAAGAAAUUUGAGAGUGUAGUCUCAGAAUACGAGAUGAGGAUAUCUCAGGUUCUUUUACCACAUGUAAUAAUUGAGGUUUUGAAGAAAAUUUCUAUUAUAUUCUUAGAAGAACUUCAUUUAGCUAGGUGGUUUGCAUGUUAUCAUAGUAUGCGUCUGUUGAAAGGCUUGUAAAUGUGUAACCCAGAAUCUUAGCAAAUAUAUGUUAUUGAGAGUAGCUUACCUGGAAUUGUGAUUGCAUGUGAGAUUGUUAUUGUGCUUGUCAAGUAUGAAUCACUUGGUGCACAUCAAAUUCCAUAAGUUAUAAUUCUGGGUAUAGUAAAUUGAGCAAUAUUCCCUUGACUGAUAUAAUUGGGCAGGGAAUUGUGAAGCUAAUAUUUUUAACUUUUCAUGGAUAGUUAACAUGGAUACUAUGAAUGAAGAUUAGUUAUCUUUUCAUAGGUUCAAUUUUUACUGUGUAUUGCACUUAGUAUUGAAAUUACUUCUUAAAGGCUAUUGGUUUCUGAUUUUUCUACUUAUAUUUUUUCAUCUUGCAGCUUCAUUUUGCUGAUGAUGAUGUUAUUGAUGGGGUUGUAAGCAUAUU